rnacentral:rRNA from 1 species
UACAGAGGUCUCAAGCGUUGUUCGGAUUCAUUGGGCGUAAAGGGUGCGUAGGCGGCGCGGUAAGUCGGGUGUGAAAUCUUGGAGCUUAACUCCGAAACUGCAUUCGAUACUGCCGUGCUUGAGGACUGGAGAGGAGACUGGAAAUUUACGGUGUAGCGGUGAAAUGCGUAGAUAUCGUAAGGAAGACCAGUGGCGAAGGCGGGUCUCUGGACAGUUCCUGACGCUGAGGCACGAAGGCCAGGGGAGCAAACGGG